rnacentral:rRNA from 1 species
UACAUGGGGUGCAAACGUUGCUCGGAAUCAUUGGGCGUAAAGCGCGCGUAGGCGGUUACUUAAGUCGGAUGUGAAAGCCCUCGGCUUAACCGAGGAAGUGCAUCCGAAACUGAGUAGCUAGAGUACGGCAGAGGGUCGCGGAAUUCCCGGUGUAGAGGUGAAAUUCGUAGAUAUCGGGAGGAACACCGGUGGCGAAGGCGGCGACCUGGGUCGAGACUGACGCUGAGGCGCGAAAGCGUGGGGAGCAAACAGG